GCCUGCCUGGCCUAAACCUAGUAGUUAAAAAUCAACUCGUAACUUAGACACGGAUGUUAUUCGUAGAUUCCAGACGUUGUAUAAAAAACAUUGUGAAACUCCCUGCCCUGUUCUGUUUCUCUCUGAUCACCCGUGCAUGCAGCCCCUGUCACGUACUGCCUGCUUGCUCAAAUCAAUCACCACCCUUUCAUGUGAAAUCUUUAGUGUUGUGAGCCCUUAAAAGGGACAGAAAUCGUGCAUUCGGGGAGCUCGGAUUUUAAGGCAGUAGCUUGUCGAUGCUCCCAGCUGAAUAAAGCCCUUCCUUCUACAACUCUGAGAGUUGUCUGAGAGGUUUUGUCUGUGGCUCAUCCUGCUCCAUUUCUUGGUUCCCUAACCGGGAAGCGAGAUGACUGAUGGUCGGCCAAGGCAGCCUCUUAGGCGGCUUAAGCCUGCCCUGUGGAGCAUCCCUGCAGGGGACUCUGGCCAGCCUGAGUGACGCAAUCCAAAGAGCGCUCCAGGAAGCAGGGUCAGCUUCUUCAAAGGAUCACAAUCCAUCCCCACUGUGAACUAGCAGCAGAGCCCUGCAUGUAACUCAGAGGAGAGGAAAGUAAAACAUUACUGAUAUCCAAGCAAGGCAGUCAAUCUUCUGAGGUAAGCCAUAUUCUGAUGUAAAUGGGAGAAUAAUAAUUUAUAAGCAUUGAUUAUUUAACCCAAGAAUUCAGUCUUAGAGUAUAGUUGGCUGGAAUAGAAAUUAUCCAAGUAACUAAGUUCUGACUAAAGUGGAUCCAGGCCUGAAAUUAAUGAAGAAGGCAUCAAUGAUUCAUCUUGACACAACUUUUAAUCUCAUUCAGAGUAAGCUCAAUUUAAUGCCAAAAUUCUCACAACAGGCCCCCAAAAGCUCACUGGCCCUGACAUAUCGAGUGCCUCUACUUGAGUGUUGAAUGGAUAGAGAAUUAAAAAGUUAUUGCUCUACUGAACACUUACAGCUAUAUACUCUUAGUAAUCUCCCGUUCCAUUCCCCAAUCAGAUCACCACAUGCAUUUAGUAACUUGCAGCAAUUUUUAGAUUAAUUUUUGAAGCCAUUCUUACAGAUGCACUUGGUAUAUUUAAUGAAGAGCUUUUCUAUAAGAUCAUAAUUUUAUCAUGACAUGAAUCCAGUGUUCUUGUUAGAUUUGUAAACCCACCUUUGUAUCACUUUAAUUGAUUCUUUCAUUUAUUCCCACGAUGUUGCUAGGUAGAGUGUAAACCACAUAGUGAGAGUGAAAAAUUCUUUGGCUACUUGAUAUUCUGAAGCAAAUAUUGACCCUGCAUCCAUUGAGAACUAAAUAUAGAUUACAUUCAAAGAUAUUUCUAGUGUGUUAAGACAUAGAAAAAGAUUUUUAAAAACGUAAUAUGCAACAGAAAAAAUGGUUACUCUAUCCAUUCACUUUUGCAGAUAUGUUUUCAAGGUCCGUUUGUCACUUUAAAGCAAUACUAAUUUGAACAAUAAUUUAGAUCUUUGAAAGACUGGUUACAACUACAUCAGACAGAUUUAUAAGGUAUUAAAUGAUGAGGAUGUAAAAAAUAUGCAUGGUUAAGAACUGCUAGUACAAUAUAGAAUAGUAGGUAUAAUAACCACCUUGUCUUAUUCCUAAAUUUAAUAGUGAUACUUCCAGAAUUCACUAUGAGACAUGUUUGGUACAGCUGUUGAGAGGUAAGUUGAAUACUAUGUAGAUAUUUCAAGUGUUUAAUAUGAUGAAACUUAAUAUAUGCAUAAACCCAUGUUACUACCAUCCCAAUUAAGAUAUAGAACAUUUCAAUCAUUCCAGAAACUUUACAUCUAGUCCUUCUAAUCAAUUCCUUAAACAGGAAACAACUUAUUAUUACUUUAUUUUAUUACUAUAGAUUAAGUAAUAUGUCUUAUUUUAUUGCAAUAGAUCAUUUUUGCUAUUCAAAAAUUUAAUUAUAAGUGAAUCAUGCACUAUGACUUUAUAAUAUCAAUGUCUUAUGUUCAACAUGAUAUUUUUGAGAUUCAUCUACAUGGCAGAUGCCAAUUUGCUCUUUAUAUCCAACUAGGUCCCAUGCACACCCUAAGCCAAUAAACAUUUCAAACAAAAAAUCAUGAAUCAAAUCAUGGAUUCUUCAAGCUAAGGAAAAUGAAAUUGCUUUGCUGAGUGCAAUGCAUGAAAUGUAAUUGCUUUGACCCUUUAAGAUACAACAGUGAAGCUGAGGAUAGUUCUUGAAAAUAUAUUGCAGGUACCUGAUGGAGAGAGCUGCAAGAUGACCACCUUGCAAGGUUCAACGCGCUGUGUGGGGGUUGCAACUGUAAUCAGAACAUGACAUGGUUCUGCACAAGUGAACCCAUAGUCUACUAGUGAAAUAGACUAACUAAUAUGUUAAGAAGCAUAAUGAGAUAUUCUAUAAUUGAUAUCUAGAAAAAGUUAUAUGGCACCCAAAAAAGAGAUAACUAUUUACCUGAGUGUUUUCAGGGUUAGCCUUUGAAUGAAGGAAUGAGUUGAAACAAUAAUGGAAAGAUAGUAGGUAUAAACUAAGCUAUAUUGCUAAUUAAGUUAAAUAUAGAUAAACUGAAUGCAUGAAUUGUCAGCAAUUACAAGACUGGAUAAAACAGUAAUCUCCCAGCAACAAGCAAGAGAGUCCUAUAGAAGACCUGACAACAAUGAUGAAUGAGGACAGAGACAGAAAACACUGUGAUCCUUGAUGUUAUCAUUGAAUCACUUGAAUCCUGCUUUGACAUUGACUUCCAAGUAUGUGAUACAAUUAACUGCCUUAAUGGUUUAAGGCACUUGGAAGGGCUUUUGGUGCUCUUGCAAUUGAAACCAUUACAACAUAACACACAUAGAAAGAGUAUCCGUUAAAAAUUUUUUGAAAGAAAAGAAGAAUGAAGGAAGGAAGAAAGGAAGGAAGGAGAGAAGGAAGAAAAGAAAGAAAGGAAGGAAGAAAAGAAGUCUCAAGAACUCAGAUGUCUUGAUUUAUACUAGUUGAAAAAUGGCCAAACAACUUAUCUGCACCAUGAAUUACGUAUAUAU
rnacentral:lncRNA from 1 species